rnacentral:rRNA from 1 species
UGCCAGACUCCUACGGGAGGCAGCAGUGGGGAAUAUUGCACAAUGGGGGGAACCCUGAUGCAGCGACGCCGCGUGAGUGAAGAAGUAUUUCGGUAUGUAAAGCUCUAUCAGCAGGGAAGAAAAUGACGGUACCUGACUAAGAAGCCCCGGCUAACUACGUGCCAGCAGCCGCGGUAAUACGUAGGGGGCAAGCGUUAUCCGGAUUUACUGGGUGUAAAGGGAGCGUAGACGGCAGAGCAAGUCUGAAGUGAAAGCCCGCGGCCCAACCGCGGGACUGCAUUGGGAACUGGCGCGCUGGAGUGCCGGAGGGGUAGGCGGAAUUCCUAGUGUAGCGGUGAAAUGCGUAGAUAUUAGGAGGAACACCAGUGGCGAAGGCGGCCUACUGGACGGUGACUGACGCUGAGGUUCGAAAGCGUGGGGAGCAAACAGGAUUAGAUACCCUAGUAA